UACAGAGGGAUGCUACCGGGCGACCGGAUGCGGAUCUCGAAAGCCUGUCCCAGUUCGGACCGGAGUCUGCAACCCGACUCCACGAAGUUGGAUUCGCUAGUAAUCGCGCAUCAGCCAUGGCGCGGUGAAUACGUUCCCGGGCCUUGUACACACCGCCCGUCAAGCCAUGGGAGCCGGGGGCGCCUGAAGUCCGGGACCGCGAGGACCGGCCUAGGGCGAAACUGGUAACUGGGGCUAAGUCGUAACAAGGUACC
rnacentral:rRNA from 1 species